CCUACGGGGGGCAGCAGUGGGGAAUAUUGGGCAAUGGGCGCAAGCCUGACCCAGCAACGCCGCGUGAAGGAUGAAGGUUUUCGGAUUGUAAACUUCUGUCGCGAGGGACGAAGAAUGACGGUACCUCGCAAGAAAGCCCCGGCUAACUACGUGCCAGCAGCCGCGGUAAUACGUCGGGGGCAAGCGUUGUCCGGAAUGACUGGGCGUAAAGGGAGUGUAGGCGGGAGUGCAAGUCAGAUGUGAAAACUAUGGGCUCAACCCAUAGCGUGCAUUUGAAACGGUACUUCUGGAGUGCUGGAGAGGCAAUCGGAAUUCCGUGUGUAGCGGUGAAAUGCGUAGAUAUACGGAGGAACACCAGUGGCGAAGGCGGAUUGCUGGACAGUAACUGACGCUGAGGCGCGAAAGCGUGGGGAGCAAACAGGAUUAGAUACCCCGGUAGUC
rnacentral:rRNA from 1 species